UUUUUNCNANUCAAUAAGCGGAGGAAAAGAAACCAACAGGGAUUGCCUCAGUAACGGCGAGUGAAGCGGCAAAAGCUCAAAUUUGAAAUCCCCCCGGGGAGUUGUAAUUUGAAGAUUGCGUCUUGGAGGCGACCGUGUCUAUGUUCCUUGGAACAGGACGUCACAGAGGGUGAGAAUCCCGUGCGGCACGGCCCCCGGCUCCUUAUAAGGCGCUCUCGACGAGUCGAGUUGUUUGGGAAUGCAGCUCAAAGUGGGUGGUAAAUUCCAUCUAAAGCUAAAUACAGGCGAGAGACCGAUAGCGAACAAGUACAGUGAUGGAAAGAUGAAAAGCACUUUGAAAAGAGAGUGAAACAGCACGUGAAAUUGUUGAAAGGGAAGGGCAUGCCGUCAGAUUGUCAGUGUGGGUAAGAAGCGGGGUACAAAGACUGUGGAACGUGGCCCUCGGGUGUUAUAGCCGCAGUUCAUGCCCCGUCUCUUUCCGAGGCCUGCUUUGAGGACACCGACGUAAUGAC
rnacentral:rRNA from 1 species